rnacentral:rRNA from 1 species
CUGGUGUUCGGGUUGUCAUGCCAAUGGCACUGCCCGGUAGCUAAAUGCGGAAGAGAUAAGUGCUGAAAGCAUCUAAGCACGAAACUUGCCCCGAGAUGAGUUCUCCCUGAGACUUAGAGUCUCCUGAAGGAACGUUGAAGACGACGACGUUGAUAGGCCGGGUGUGUAAGCGCAGCGAUGCGUUGAGCUAACCGGUACUAAUGAACCGUGAGGCUUAACCUU